rnacentral:lncRNA from 1 species
AGAGAACGAUUCUGAAGUUGAACGAGAGUUGAACUGAAUCAAAGUUGAAAGAUUCAGAAGUUGAACGAUCUUCAGAAUCAGAGAACGAUUCUGAAUCGCUUUAAGCUUUGCUGAAGUUGAACGAAGGUUGAACGAUACAGAGAAUGAUUUUCAGAAAUUACAAAUAGGAGAUUUCAUUGUUUUACGAAAAUGAAACUAGUGUAUCAAAACUUGAAAUUUUUGGGUGGAAAAUAAGAAGAGGUAAAAAAGAAAUGGGAAGCGCGCUUUUUCCAGAUCUGAGCCGCGACGGUUUAGAUAGAACAACCGCAAUGUCCUAGAGUUCAAAUACCGACGACUGUUUCAAGGAACCACCGCUAUCAUUCCGCCGUUAUUUCCAAAUUAUCUUGUAGUGACA